rnacentral:rRNA from 1 species
UACGAAGGGGGCUAGCGUUGCUCGGAAUUACUGGGCGUAAAGGGCGCGUAGGCGGACAGUUUAGUCAGAGGUGAAAGCCCAGGGCUCAACCUUGGAAUUGCCUUUGAUACUGGCUGUCUUGAGUUCGGGAGAGGUGAGUGGAAUGCCGAGUGUAGAGGUGAAAUUCGUAGAUAUUGGGAAGAACACCGAUGGCGAAGGCAGCCAUCUGGACCGACACUGACGCUGAGGCGCGAAAGCGUGGGGAGCAAACAGG